rnacentral:rRNA from 1 species
AUUGAACGCUGGCGGAAUGCUUUACACAUGCAAGUCGAACGGCAGCACGGACUUCGGUCUGGUGGCGAGUGGCGAACGGGUGAGUAAUGUAUCGGAACGUGCCCAGUCGUGGGGGAUAACGUAGUGAAAAUUACGCUAAUACCGCAUACGAUCUAUGGAUGAAAGCGGGGGAUCGCAAGACCUCGCGCGAUUGGAGCGGCCGAUAUCAGAUUAGGUAGUUGGUGGGGGAAAGGCACACCAAGCCAACGAUCUGUAGCUGGUCUGAGAGGACGACCAGCCACACUGGAACUGAGACACGGUCCAGACUCCUACGGGAGGCGGCAGUGGGGAAUUUUGGACAAUGGGCGAAAGCCUGAUCCAGCCAUUCCGCGUGCAGGAUGAAGGCCCUCGGGUUGUAAACUGCUUUUGUACAGAACGAAAAGGUUUCUACUAAUACUAGGAGCUCAUGACGGUACUGUAAGAGUAAGCACCGGCUAACUACGUGCCAGCAGCCGCCGUAA